GCGUUCUGUAAGCCGUUGAAGGUGUGCUGUGAGGCAUGCUGGAGGUAUCAGAAGUGCGAAUGCUGACAUAAGUAACGAUAAAGCGGGUGAAAAGCCCGCUCGCCGGAAGACCAAGGGUUCCUGUCCAACGUUAAUCGGGGCAGGGUGAGUCGACCCCUAAGGCGAGGCCGAAAGGCGUAGUCGAUGGGAAACAGGUUAAUAUUCCUGUACUUGGUGUUACUGCGAAGGGGGGACGGAGAAGGCUAUGUCAGCCGGGCGACGGUUGUCCCGGUUUAAGCAUGUAGGCGGAGGUUCCAGGUAAAUCCGGUACCUUAUUAACGCUGAGGUGUGAUGACGAGGCACUACGGUGCUGAAGUGAUAAAUGCCCUGCUUCCAGGAAAAGCCUCUAAGCAUCAGGUAACACGAAAUCGUACCCCAAACCGACACAGGUGGUCAGGUAGAGAAUACCAAGGCGCUUGAGAGAACUCGGGUGAAGGAACUAGGCAAAAUGGUGCCGUAACUUCGGGAGAAGG
rnacentral:rRNA from 1 species